rnacentral:rRNA from 1 species
CNNUYSSGGGGGCSSUGCAGUAGGGAAUCUUCCGCAAUGGACGAAAGUCUGACGGAGCAACGCCGCGUGAACGAAGAAGGCCUUCGGGUCGUAAAGUUCUGUUGUUAGGGAAGAACAAGUACCAGAGUAACUGCUGGUACCUUGACGGUACCUAACCAGAAAGCCACGGCUAACUACGUGCCAGCAGCCGCGGUAAUACGUAGGUGGCAAGCGUUGUCCGGAAUUAUUGGGCGUAAAGCGCGCGCAGGUGGUUCCUUAAGUCUGAUGUGAAAGCCCACGGCUCAACCGUGGAGGGUCAUUGGAAACUGGGGAACUUGAGUGCAGAAGAGGAAAGUGGAAUUCCAAGUGUAGCGGUGAAAUGCGUAGAGAUUUGGAGGAACACCAGUGGCGAAGGCGACUUUCUGGUCUGUAACUGACACUGAGGCGCGAAAGCGUGGGGAGCAAACAGGAUUAGAUACCCCUGGUAGUCAA